rnacentral:lncRNA from 1 species
AUGGUGACGUCCAAAAAUCACAGUGAAAGAUGUCAAGAGGACCCUGGAUGUCCAAGACGAUUAUGCCAAGAAUUCAGAAGAAACAUAAAAGGUGGAAGCACUAGAAGUAGCUAGAGUGGAUGUAUUUGAGAUGAAUUGGUUUGUCGGUAUGGUUAACAAUGGUAUGACCCAAUCCAAGAAUUUGUAUAUGAUGUUGUCACACCCCAACUGAUGGCAGAAACAUCGGAGUGAGACAAAAUACAAGAUUGUAAGAGACUUCAUAACGUUUGUGACAAGUAUUUAAUAAUCAAAAUUUCAUUUCAUUACUAAAGCAAAAGUACAAUGUUUGGAAGCAAAAUGCAACAACUUGUAACAUGGAAAGCAAAAUACAAUACAUGAACUAAAAUUUAAAGUGCGU